UGUUCUGUGGGAUUUGGCUUGUUAAUAUUUUGUUGACGGUGUUUGCAUCUAUACUCAUAAGGGAUAUUGGUCUAUAUUUUUCUUAUGGUAUCUUUAUCUGACUUUGGUAUCAGGAUAAUGCUGGCCUCAUAGAACGUGUUAGGAAGUAUUCUUUCCUCUUCUAUUUUUGGAGAUUUUUGAGUAAGAAUGAUAUUAAUUCAUCUUUAAAUGUUUGACAGAACUUAUGGGUGAACCUAUAUGGUCUAGGCUAUUUCUUCGAUGGAAGAGUUUUGACGGAUUUAAUCUUUUUACUUAUAUAGGUCUUUUUGUUAUAUAUAGGUCUGUUGAGACUUUGUGUUUCUUUUAAGUUAUUUUUGGUAAGUCAUGGAAUUUGUCUAUUUCACCUAGAUUAUCUAACUUGUUGUCAUACGAAUUGUUCCUAUAAUUCUCUUAUAAUACUUUUAAUUUCUGUAAGGUCAGCAGUAAUAUCCCUACCUUUAUUUCUGAUUCUACUUAUUUAUGUCUUCUCUCUUUUUUCUUAGUAGUCUAGCUAAGGAUUUAUCAAUUUUGUUGGUAUUUUCUUUGAUCUCAUGGAUUAUAUUUUUUUCUCUAUUUCAUUUUUCUCUUUUCGGAUCUUCAUUAUCUUCUGCUGGCUUUGGAUUUAGUUUGCUCUUCUUUGUCUGUUUUCUUAAUGUGUAAAUUUAGGUUGAUUUGAUAUUUUUCUUUUUUAAUGCAGGCAUUUACAGCUGUAAAUUUUUCUCUGAAUACAGUUUUUCCUGCAUUUUGUAAGUUUUGGAAUGUUUGUUUUUGUUUUCAGUCAUCUUAAAUUAUUAUCUAAUUUCUCUAGUGAUUUAUUCUUUAAACCACUAAAGAAAAUUCACAAAUACCUGGAACUAAGCAAUAUACUUGUUGUGAAGCAAUAUACUUUUUGUGAACAAGUAUAUUGCUUAGUUCCAGGUGUUUGUGAAUUUUCUAGUUUUCCUUCUGUAUUGAUUACUCAUUUUAUUGUGGUUCAAAAAGAUAGUAUGUAUCACCUUAGUCUUUUUAAGCUUAUAGAUAAUUGUUUUAUGGAAGAACAUAUAGUCUAUCCUGAAGAAUGUCCCAUGUGUACUUGAGAAGACUGUAUUCUGCUAUUGUUGAGUGGAAUGUUCUGUACGUGUCUCUGGGGUCUAGUUGGUUUUGUAGUAUUGUUCAAGCCUCCUACUUCCUUAUUGGUUUUCUUUCUACUUGUCUAUCAAUUGUGGAAAGUGAGGCAUUAAGGUCUCCAACUAUUAUUGUAGAACUGUAUAUUUCUCCCUUCAGUUUUCUAAAGGUUUGUUUUAUAUAUUUUCUGGCUGUCAUAUGGUGCAUAUAUGUUUAUAAUUGUUAUAUCUUUUUGAUAAAUUGAAACUUAACAACAUAAAAUGUCCAUCUUUGCUCUUGUAACAUGUUUUUACUUAACAUCUAAUUUGUCUGUUAUUAGUAUAGCCAUCCCAGCUUUUUUUUGUUUAUAAUUUGCACAUAUUUACAUAACGUUUUAAUAGUAAAAUGCAGAUUAUGAUAUCUAAGCAAGUGAUGGUGGUUCAAAAUAAAUUUUUGUCAUGUUAUUGUUUAUUCAUUUAGUGGAGUUAUUUUUAAAAUGUCAAGCAAGGUUUUUCUUAUAAGCUAAAAUAAUAGAUGCAGGAAAGCUAAUAUUCAGAGGAAAAUUUGCUGUUUUUAUACUUAUAUGUAUAUUUUUAAGGGUUAAUAUUGCUUACUAUAGAAUUUAUUCCUUUGUGAUUAUGAAUUCCUUGCAUUUCUUUCUAGCUAAGAGUUGAUGCUUGCUGUACACUUGAGUUUAUUGUGUGUAUCUUGUCCUAGUUGCAUUAAUAGUCUACACAGUCAACUAUAGUUCUCAAAUAAUAGUCAUAUUAAUUGCUACCAGAUUAUUACAUAUAUGAAUAUAUAUUUUAUAUAUAGUAUAUAUAUGUAUUUAUGUAUAUAUACUUUAAUGAUACUAAAUGUAGAUAUCAAGUCAGCUUUUUAUACAUUAUAUCCAAUGGACUUUUCAUUUGACUUCUUAACCUCUGAAAAUGUAGAUCACAUAAACUCUUGAAAAUAUACUAUGGCUUUUAAAGUUCUUAGAAUAUAUCAGGUAAGUAUAUUCUACACAUUUUUCUCUAGAUAUACCACCAUACAAAGAUGAGCAUUUUAUGGUGAUACCAUUGCAUAGAAGUAAAUUUAGUAUCAAUUUACUUUAGUUUUCUAAUAUCAGUUUCUCUUCAAAUUUUUGAGAGAAAAGUUUAGGCUUAGACUGUCAAUGCAAGAUUGAUUUAGAAAUACAUGAAUUUGAUUUUUUUCCUUUUGGGAAAAUUAUUUUGAAGCCUGUAGUGCUUUACUUAUAGAGAGUUUUAUAUUUUAAAAACACCUGCUAUAAUAUUUUACAAAAAAUGAUUUAUUAUGGAAAUAACUUACAUGUACCUUUUGAUAAUUAUAAGGACAUUAAAGUCGCAAAGUGAUCUGUGAAUGUUCCUACCUUGUCUUUUUUUUCCCCCAAUAGUUGUUGCUCAUUGUUUUGGUUCUCCAUCUUCCUUCCAAUUCUCUAAUAAUCCUUUAGGAUCAGUACCUAAUCCCAGCAAACAAAAAUAUUCAACAAGUCUCUGCGAAUUACGAUGAAGAAAAGAUGAAUUUUAAUUAAAAAGAGGUGAGCUAUUAAUAUGUAUUACUGUCAACUUUGUGCUCAGUAACGUGGGAUUCACAGUAAGAACAAUGAUAUAGAAAGUCAAAGAUAACAAUACAGAAAUACUUGUUCAGUAAGCUUUUAGCAUAUAUGAGCUAUCUGAAAUGUACAAUUGUGUGUCCUAUCCAUGUAAAAGUUUGCCUUUCUGUAAAGGAAAUAAUGCAUUAGGUAAUGCUGUUAAACAACAUAGUGGUUAAGACUCUAGAUGCUAGUGUAAGACUGGCCAUAUUCAAAAUCUGGCUCAAUUGCUCACUGAUAAUGUAAACUUAGACAAACUACUUAAUAUCUUUAAACCUUAGCUUUUUUGUCCAUAGAACAAGGAUAAUAUCAGUACCUAUCUCAUUCAGUUGCUGCAAGAUGGUGUUUAGAAGAAUAAUAAAAUUUUAAUAAAAGCUUAGUUGUCUUAUAACUAAAAUCUAUUGGAAAAACUCAUGCCUGUAAUCCUAACACUUUGGGAGGCCAAGGCAGGCAGAUCAUUUGAGGCCAGGAGUUGGAGACCAGCCUGUCCAACAUGGCAAAACCUCAUUUCUACUAAAAAAUACAAAAAUUAGCUGAGCAUGGUGACAAGUGCCUGUAGUCCCAGCUACUCAGGAGGUUGAAGCACAAGUAUCACUUGAACCUGGGAGGCAGAGGUUGCAGUGAGUCAAGAUUGUGCCACUGUACUCUGGCCUGGGUGACAGAGUGAGACUCAGUUUCAAAAAAAAAAAAAAAUCUAUUGUUUUUAAAAAUGCAUUGACCAAGUUAGAGAAAUAGUUAUAUAAGGUAAGUUGUGUGAAUGUAUGUUUUUACAUUUAUUUUGUAAUAUAAAGAAGGCUGUGUACUUGUAUAAUGCAUUCAUUUCUAAAAGAAAUAACUGAAUUUCAUAUUUUCAGAAAGACAUUAUGAUGAAUAAUUUAUAAAAUUUUAUUUAUUAAAUAUUUAGCUUUGUUAGAUACAAUUUUUCUUACCAGGCUUUGAUUGCAGUAGUAAGGGAACGUUUACUAAAAAGCCGUUGUUGUCUCACAUAUGUCCUUAUGCUGAUGUGUCAUUUGUAAAUGGAGACACUGGAUCUUUAAUGCUUUUUCCCCCUCAAGGAGAGUUCCUACCAAGUAGAAAAUAAAACUGGUUUGCUGAUAGUUUUUUUAAAUUUACCUAUUCUAUGCAUUGUUCCAGAAUGGAUAUGAAACUUUCAUUAUUGAGUUAGGCUGAUUUCAUUACCAGUCAAUUCAGUGAAGAAAGAAAGGCCAAUCAAAUCACAUGCUAUCUUGAUAAAACAACUAAUAUUAUCCAUCUACCUACCUAUCUAUAUUAUUUUACAAUUUCACUUCAUGUAUUUUAUAGGAGCUUACACUGUUCGAAAACAUGUUCUGACUUGUGUUUAUAUACACUUUUUUUUUGGGGGGACGGAGUCUCACUCUGUCGCCCAGGCUGGAGUGCAGUGGCACGAUCUCAGCUCACUGCAAGCUCCACCUCCUGGGUUCACGCCAUUCUCCUGCCUCAGCCUCCCAAAUAGCUGGGACUAGAGGCGCCUGCCACCACGCCCAGCUAAUUUUUUUUUUUUUUUUUUUUGUAUUUUUAGUAGAGACGAGGUUUCACCGUAUUAGCCAGGAUGGUCUUGAUCUCCUGACCUCGUGAUAAGCCCGCCUCCGCCUCCCAAAGUGCUGGGAUUACAGGCGUGAGCCACCGCACCCAGCCGUGUUUAUAUACACUUUAAGACACUGAAUUGUGACUACCUCAAAAUUGUUUGGUCCAGCCCAGUAACACUUAUUUACACAGAUUAGAUACCAGACACUGUUUUGGGUGUGGUCUUUCAGCCCAGUAACACUUACUAAACACAGAUUAGAUACCAGAUACUGUUCUGGGUGUGGUCUCCAGAAACAGAUCAGGGACCUCCAAGGAUAUAUUUUAAUGAAAUAAUGUCACUUUUAUUCAUAAAAUGAUAUCUCCCAGAUUGCCUGUGUGGUAUGGUGUCUCUCAAACAUUUCCCCACAAUACUUUGUAUGGCACCCUAUACUUCUCUGUAGCAGGCUUCACAUUUAUAAAUAAUUACUUGUUUAUAGCAAUCACACCUUUGUUAGAGCACAAGUUCCAAGAAGAUAAGUCCAUUUUAUUCAUUACUGUAUGCCCAGAUCUUAAUAAUGGCUGGCACUUAGCAGGCUUUGAAUACAUUUUUAUAACAUGAAAGACUUUCUGACAUUACCUCUGAUGGCAAUAUGAGUCACAUACCUCUUAAGUUAUGGGGCAUAAUCCAAAGCUGUCUCCUCUAACAAUCAGAAAAUACCUUUGAAGUUCCCUGUUUUAUUUACUUUUAAAAUGUAUGAUACUUUUAAAUUCUCAUCCAUUAUGUUUCUUUUAAUGUGUGUUUUGUUAUUCUUAAAAAUGGAUACUUUAGGAAAUGUAUCAUGGUUUUAAGGAUACAUCUGUGUGUGGCAUAUGGGCUUUGGAAUUGGAACUCUUGAAAAUCUGCCUUGAUUUUUAGCAAAUAUCUUAAACUUGAGUUAGCAGCUGAAAAAUGGGGCUGAGAAUAUUUACCUUGAAGGCUUUUGUUGUUGUUUUUUAAGAGAGUAAAAUGAAAUGUGCUUAAAGUUCUUGGUUUUUGUUUGUUUGUUUGAGACAGAGUCUCACUCUGUGGUUCCAUGGUGGAGUUCAGUGGCAUCAUCUUAGCUCACUGCAGCCUUGAAUUUCUGGGCUCGAGUGAUCCUCCUACCUCAGCCUCCCAAAUAGCUGGGACUACAGGUGCAUGCCGCCAUGCAGCUAAUUUUUAAAUUUUUUUUGUAAAGACAGGAUCUCACUAUGUUGCCCAGGCUGGUCUCAAACUCCUGGACUCAAGUGAUCUUCCCGCCUUGGCCUCCCAAAAUGCUAGGAUUACAGGCAUUAGUCACCAGUCCCAGCCUGAAAUGUACUUAAAGUUAUUAGCAUACAUAAUAUACCCUCAAAUAUUGUUCCCUUUUCCUUUUUUUUUUUUUUUUUUUUUUUUCGAGACAGGGUCUUGCUCUGUCACCCAGGCUAGAGUGCAGUAGUGCAAUCAUAGCUCACUGCAGACUCGAAAUUCUAGAUUCAAAUGACCCUCUUGAGUAACUAGAACUACAGAUGUGGGCACCCACAACCUGCUAAUUUUUUAAUUUUUUUGUAAAGAGGGGGUCUCACUAUGUUGCCCAGGCUGGUCCCUUUUUCCUUCUUACUAGAAAAUUUCUAGCUCCCUUCCAAGAAUCUCAGCUUAUACCUGGUUCUUUCAAUAUGUGGUUAAUAACUGUCAACUAAGGACUGAAAGUAUUUUCAAUCCUUGAGCCAUGCCUAUGGCUCUUCAUCUGGGGGACAGAACUCUUUAACUGAGUAUAAUGAACACCUCAUAGAUUACAUUUUCUAGGCAAAAUUUUUAACCAAUGCCAACAAUGUCCACAGAGAAAAAUUAGAUUGAAUUAACUUUUAUUACUACUUGUUUAACACAGAUUUACUUGUCUUAGACAAGUAAGAAUUUAUAGAAUCUAUGCUCUAUUGCACUAUAUAGAAACUAGAAAUGCAGUUAUACUGAUGUAGUGCAGUUUGUGGGAAAUCAGGAAUGGUGUUCUCCAGAAUACAUGAAGAUUCUCAUUGAUUGUUGCAAGGAAUCACGAAAGAGAUCUUUGGUCCAAAGAAAACGUCUCUGAAAGAAAAUAGAGCAUCAAUUAAAUUCACCUUAAGGCUAAGAUAUUAGUUAGUCUAUUCUAGGUUAAAAAUAGACAGUGAUUUCCAGGAUUUCAGUUAUGAUUAUUCUUUUUAGGUGACUAAAAUGUAAAGAGAUGAGUGGGAGGACUUGCCACAGAAGCAACAAAGACCGAGAAGGCUUGACUCCUUCUGGGCUCACCAAGGCUGGCAGUAUGGGGAGAAGCAGCAGCUGGUUUCGGCCUUCACAGCUCACAUCUUCCCAGGAGAGAGGUCCUGAGUUAUUGCCCUAAUCUUCUCAAAGCUGUUUCACAGACACAAGCAUCUGGCUCUACACUGCCCUGUGGAAGAGCUGCCUUGGGUGUAGGAAUAAGGUUGAAGACCCUUCCUGGAUUCUGAGAAUUACCACAAACUUGCAUUCCUGGAAUACAGGAUCUCAUUCUGUAGCCCAGGAUGAAGAGCAGUGGCAUAAUCAUAGCCCACUUCAGCUUUGACCUCUCAGUCUCAAGUGAUAGUCCCCCCACAGCCUCCUGAGUAGCUGGGACCACAGGCAUGCACCACCAUACCCAGAAGCCACUGUGGAAGAUGACGAAAGGAAAAUGAAUCACAGAUGAGGAAGAAACAAAAACAAAUGAAAUAAAGAAAACGAACGGACACAGACUUUAGGAAUGAUGUUUGAUUCCUAAUUAGGCUUGAUAUUACCAUGUUUGGUUACUGGUGUGUUUUCAUUCAUGUCUUUUGACCUGCUUAAAAAAGGAAAGAGGUCACUUCAAGGGAUCCACAUUUCAAUUUCAGUGUGUGGCACAAUUACUCUAUACUAAGAGUCUACUAGCCGUCAUUCCCACAGUAAGGCCUGGCUUGUUCGUACACUGGGUGCAUCUCUGAUCUAAUUUUAUUAUGGAUGACAGCAUGACAUUCAUUUCCACCACAUUCUACACCGCUCCAAUUCUGAACUUGGCAUGUAAUAGCCAUAAAAUAACAUGAGUAAAGAAGGGGACUCCUGCACAGAACUCUGGAAACCAAUGCCCAAUUUACGAGUCCAAGCAUGCAUGACUACUGUAAACCAGAAUGGUACUAAAACCAAUAGAUAUAUGAGAAGAAAAUGAAUAGUUACGUAAAGGUUUAUUGUAGACACUGGUUCAUUUUCAUAAUUUUAGGUUGAAUAUACCCAGCUGAUGAAAGCUUUGAAAAACUGAGUAUAAUUCCUUAUUAAAAUUAAAAGCACAACCUGUUUUUUUUGUUUGUUUGUUUUUUUGUUUUUUUUUUUUUUUGAG
rnacentral:lncRNA from 1 species